GAAUAUGGCGGUAAAACACGAAAAAAAGAAAAUAUGUGUAUUUCAUCUAGAUGAUUUCGGUGAUUUUUUAAUGACUUUCCUGCAAAUAAUUCCUGACGAUAUUUUGAAAAGUAAUAUAAAGUUGAGCAGUGUUGUGCCGCUAUAUAAAGCUUUGAUACAAAGAUGGCGGCGUCGUGUCUCUUUCACUGAGCCUGUGGAUCACCUCAGUCUCGAUUGGCUGAAAUGCUAAAUACCAACAAGUGAUCUACAUGCUGACAUCCUUUAUGUGGUGAAGCCACAGUGCAAGACUGAAAUCACAAUGGUAAAAGUUGCCACAGGAGGACAAAUGGCCUUCAGCUCUGUGUCAGUCUGCAGAACAAAUGGCAGAGAAAGGUUAGCAGAGUGCAACAGGGCCUGCUGGACCAGAUCGUGUGCCCCAGUAAACAGACUGGGGAACGCCUCCUCCAUGUGGCUCACCAAUAGAUUGUUGGAUGCAGCGACGUGUGUUCGGACCAUUCUUUGCAACCUUUAUUUGAGUUAAGUAGUUACCCAUCAACUCUCUUUCAAACUGAAGCGAUAACAAGGAAAGAAGCAACAUAUUCAAAAGAAAAAGAAAUUGCGAUACACGCAUGCGGCGCAGCAGCCAAAUCCAAUCAGCACGGCUUGAAUUCACUUUGCCUUUUUAAAAAAAUAAAUUAGAUCAGAAUAAAUGCCACACACAAUCAAUUAUUUCCAUGUUCUUCCUUCAGCAGGGCGUAGAGCUCGUGUCACCUGAAGAUACAGCAGCAAAUUAAAACGGCACAAUUAAAACAA